UUUAGCAUGAAUUUAUCAACAGGUGGAGCUGUGGAAUGAUGUCAUUACAGAAAUAUACAGAUACAAAUAUUCUUUGUCUCAAAGUAAAAUGGAAAAGGCUGUGGAGAAAAAAUUCAAGAACUUGAAAGCUGAAGACCACAAUCAACUCACCAAGUCCGUGGUGCUAAGACAGAUGUUUGUGGAGAAGUUGUGAAUCCUGUGUUACCAUGUAUAGUUAGUUGAUGAGAGUGAAGAUAUUUCAGCAAUGCAAAGGAUGAAAGCAUAUUGUUUUAAAUUGGUAUUUUAAGAACCUUAUAAACAGACAUAUGUCCUAUUAUGAGAGAAACGUUUUAAAUGUUACAUUAUUGUGAACCUUUAAGAAGAGGACUUCCAUUGAUAUGAAGACACCUCAAUAGGGAGACUCAAAAAUAUGUAGUUUGUUGUAACAGUGUACAAUAUAGAUACCCUAUUGUUUCUUUUAUUGAUGUAAACAACCUUUUGUUAAGAAAUAUUAUUUUUAUUAUUAUAUGUAUACUUUAAGAACAGGAUUAAAAUUGCAGCAAAAAAAACAUCAAG